UACAGAGGUCUCAAGCGUUGUUCGGAUUCAUUGGGCGUAAAGGGUGCGUAGGCGGCGCGGUAAGUCGGGUGUGAAAUCUCGGGGCUUAACUCCGAAACUGCAUUCGAUACUGCCGUGCUUGAGGACUGGAGAGGAGACUGGAAUUUACGGUGUAGCGGUGAAAUGCGUAGAUAUCAGGAGGAACACCGGUGGCGAAGGCGGUUCUCUGGGCCUUACCUGACACUGAGGAGCGAAAGCGUGGGGAGCGAACAGG
rnacentral:rRNA from 1 species